rfam:Schistosoma mansoni, Puerto Rico, WGS project CABG01000000 data, contig: 0135
AUCCAUCUGACGAUCCCCAAAUAGGACGAAACGCGCGUCAAACUGUAU